rnacentral:tRNA from 1 species
CCAAAAAUAAUUUAAAAUAAAAUCUUGUUCUUACAACACAAUACAUAAAGGAACAUCCCUUUUUUUUGGA